rnacentral:lncRNA from 1 species
UCCAUUCGAAGUUCUGAGAUUAUUUGCUAUGCAAUUUGCAUAUUCCUCAUCUUUGAAUUUGUUUGGUUUCAAAACCAUGAUUCCCUUUGAACCUAUUUAGGUUCCUGAAGGGCUUCAUCUGUUGCUCGAUUGAAUUUCCAAAUCUUUUGUUUCUCUAUGUGAUUCUGACUUCAUCCUAUACUUUCUAGAAAGGUCUUUUACUUGACUCUUCUGCAUGCUUCUGAUACCAUCUUCUCCUUAUUACUAAGUUGACUUAUGUGACUACCAUGUUUCACUAUCCACAAACUUUGUAAUUAUUAUUACUGUUUCUCUUUGCCAUGGUUUAACCUCGCAUGCCUAAAGUUUGUGCACCCUUUUAUAUGCUGAAUUUUCCUCUCAAAAUAACCUUAAUUGUGGACUAAUUCCAAACCUCUUUGUGUAAUUCUGAUUGCACUCUUGUAAUUGAUUCUUUCUUUAUUAUACUGAUUUCCCUGUUUCUUGGACCGAUUCGAAUACUUUCCUUUGAUCCUUCAACUUCUACCUUUUCUACUGAAUUUGAUUAUGCCCCUUAUCUUGAUUACAUUGUUAUGGUAUUCUUACAGACUUUUCAUUAGAAUCUGAUGAACCUAGCCCCUAUUACCUACUAUGUACUUGUACUAUGCUGGAAAAACUUCAUUAUUGGCCAUAUUCAACCCUAUGUGAUUCUUUUCCUUAUUUUACAUGUUACCAUUUGAUUUUAACUCCUUAAUUAAAGGAAGUCUUAUAUUGAUUGAUUUUAAUUGGUACCCAGUUCCAUAAUUAUGUUUCUUACCUUAUUUUCUGCCAGUUUUCACACUAUAAAUACCCGAAUCUUUCAUUGACACAAACACACACGAACACUCUUAGUUUUCUGAACUCACACUCAUAUUCAGAAACAUUCUCUCUUGUUACUUGUGUCGUGAUCGUUUUUCAAGUACUACUACUAUUGUGUUUUGCUUCUUUCAAACCGGUAUCUCCUGAUUAAGAUUUUCAGUAAUCACAACAAUGUGUUUAUUUACCAUCUAUACUUGCAUGUCUGCCUACUGCUUAUGUAUAAUUCAAUGCUUACCUUAGCAUGCUGUAAUUUCCUUCUGCCUAUUCUAAAUCUAUUAUGAAUCCCAAAAUGCCACCCAUAUGUAUUCAUGCUGUGGUUUGUUUGUGGCAUGGCAGUACAACAAAUUAUUGUCCAUCACUCAAACUUGAUCCCCUGUGAUUUUAGCCUCUAAUAUUGUGUUCUGGCAGGCUUAUAGGCAUGCCAACAUCCUCCAUUGCUAGGCAUGCCUAAAGCUUGCCCUUGCCUAAGCAAUAGUCUCUUUGUAACUCCUGUAUCCCCUUGAACCCCUUUGUGUGAAUUUAUCAAUUUGCUUGUGGAUGUUUCCCUCUCCUUUAUCCCCUUUGAACUUUGUCCUUCACUUUCACACUCUCUUAGACUUUAUGUUCUCCCCCCCCCCCCUUGUGAACCUUAAUUUGGGACCCCUUGAGCUCCCUCUGAACUGGAACACUUGAGGGCUAGCCCUUCCACACUAUACUUACCCCAUUCUGGUAAUACAAUUUGGGUGUGAACACUGCCCGGAGUCCCAUUGAGGCUCUUAGGGAACUUUGGCAUACUCAAAUUGGAGAAAGGCUUUGGAUCAAUGAUCUUUGAGUUGGGUCUAUCUUGUAACUUAGAGAGGAAGUCAGAAUUAGGCUUUCUCUGUUUGUAUUUUUCUUUAUAGUUUCUUAUGUAAUUUUAUUUAUUUCGAGCUGUAAUAAGUUAUAAUAAACAUUUGGGGCUGGCUAGUGAAAAAGAGUGAGUAACUAUAUAUGCAAAGGGUAGAAAUCAU